UACGGGGGGGGCAAGCGUUGUUCGGAAUUACUGGGCGUAAAGGGCUCGUAGGUGGCUAACUAAGUCAGACGUGAAAUCCCUCGGCUUAACCGGGGAACUGCGUCUGAUACUGGAUGGCUUGAGUUUGGGAGAGGGACGCGGAAUUCCAGGUGUAGCGGUGAAAUGCGUAGAUAUCUGGAGGAACACCGGUGGCGAAGGCGGCGUCCUGGACCAACACUGACACUGAGGAGCGAAAGCCAGGGGAGCAAACGGG
rnacentral:rRNA from 1 species